GAGCAGUCCCCUGUAGCUUCCUGCAGCCCGUCGCCCAUGGCCACGAUGGGGGCUGCCUGCGUGGCGGCAUGGAUGGCGAUGCUGGCGCUGUUAGCGUGCGGCUCACCGCAGCGCGGCUCGACGGCCGUAGGUGGACGAGCUCAAGUCCCUGGACAAGCCGUUCAACCAGGAACUGUUUUUGCAGUUGCUAAACGACUACUUCUCUCGGAGGAAACCCGACAAUACGAUGCCUCCCAUGCCACUACCUCACGUGGCACUAUCGCGCAUGGCCCUGUCCCGCUGUGGGCGACCCGUGCUGGGUGCCACGGAUCGCUGCUGACGGAGAGAGGCUCCUGGUGAGCCGUACGCAUGAAGAGGCCAUGACUGCAGCAGAGGCCGCGCAUGAAGCAUCGCUCAUCGGAGAUAAUUUAUUGAGAAGCGGUGUGAAGCUCCCGUGAAGGCAGAUCAUCGUCCCCUUUUUGACAAGUGUUGUUUUAUAUUUAAGAAAGCGUUAAGACCUCUACUAAACGAACCCUGUACCAGUAAGAUUCAAAUGAAAGGAAAAACAAUUGCAUGUUUGUUUCCGUUUCAACAAAAAAACACAAUUCUUAAAAAUCACGUUCGUUAAUUUCUCUUCCUAUUCAUCCGUCUCGAGGCUUCCGCAUGCUGUACCCUUCUUGACACGUUCGUAAAAGCGAGUUGCAUUGUAUUUUAAUGAUAUAUUUGGUUUGCUAUCAAAAACCAUACUUUGCUGUCUUGAUACCACUCUACCCCUGUAUAAUAUCUUGCCAACAAGAACGAACAUGUCCCUGCAUUGUAUAACUUAUUAAUACACAGUACUGCAAGUUACACUCUCAUGGAAUGGAAGUGCAUGAUUAUAGGGAGAUUACAAUUGCAGAAUUAUAGGUAAUUAUAGGUAGGCGUAGCAAUGUAAUAACAACUUGUACAAUAAACACAUUGACUCGCAACACACUGCAGAAUGUACAAAGAAGCUACGAACAAAUAUCGCAUACAUAUUACGCCUGCAAUACGUACAACCACAACACUUGAAAAUAAAACACUACAUCUGUAAAGGACCCAAGUCUGACGCUUGAUAAUUACCUACAACUUGAUGUGGUACUGAUGCCGUCUUUUAUGGUCGAUUUUUAAUGCAUUCUUUACACCCGUAACACAAGAUUAGGACGUGAUGUGUAUUUAUUUCGCCUCGAAUGUUUAUUUAGCACUGUAAUAUAGGUCAUGCUUUAAAUCGUAUAUUCAUGUUCAUUGGUUUAACGUUCUGUCACGUCGACUACGUAGGCUGCGAUCAAAUCCGCCGGAAUAAAAUGUUAUGGAACCUCAGAAACCCAAAUCGCACAGAGCCUAAAUAGCUCUUUGGUGGAUGAUCACGUGCAUAACAGUUGUUACAGGCUCCUGAGCUGCAUUGUGGGCAACAAAGGACAGAGCAGCAACAUCCUUUGUUGCACUGCACUUCUAUGAUCCCACAGCUACGCACACUGCCUUAUGGGCAAAUAACCCCCUGCCCCUUCCCCACAAACACACACGAAGUGGGAAUGCUCUCAUCCAGCAGUGGAUUGCGAAAUGUCUUUGUAUGUAUUGUAUAUGUAAACAAUGAUGAGGUGUGGUUUCAUUAAGAUGUGACGCGCAUGCACGGAUUAGUUUGUUUAAAAAGCACAUAAUACGAAAUGUACUAAAUGUAUAAAUGGCAGCGAAACCAUAUGCUUUAUCGUGACCAUUCUUUGAAACGCAGUGCUUGCCACCAAAACGCUAAAUAAAACGUGCAAACAUAUAUAUUUACGAAGUACGCUGUGUAUAUUAUUGGGCUGUGUAUCAGAGGUCAGUUCCUCACUUACAAUAACUCGCACCAAUUCCACUCAAAGGAUGACUAAGGUUCACCUUUGAAAAUUUUAAAAUAAAUCAAUUCCACGGGAGGUAUCGUGACUGCCCGUCUCUAAAGGUCUCGUUAAACGUUGGUGAAAUGUGGCAAUAAAUAAUAUUGAUGAGGCACAGGAAAACCACUCCAGGUGCAAGGGGGGGCUGAUGACCGUGGCCCACCCCGUGACAUUUUGACAAGAAACCUGUCCAAGUAUAGGUCAAGUGCCUGACUCACACUCAUAUUUAUAGCUAGUGGCAUGGCAAAACAACAAAAAAAGAACACAAAUGUUUAGGUUUCAUCAGAAUGUCAGCCUGCUGGCCUUCCAGAUCAAAGUUUUUCAGCAGAAUUUAUACAAGCAGGCCACCUAUCCAAUGGCUUCACAUUUUUGAGUCUCAUCAGCAGUCUGACCUGUGAGGGUGAUGGAUCUUAAUGUGUUUUUUUAAAUCGGGUUUCCCAUAUCCCCCCCACCCAGCAGUAUGAAUGAGUACACCACAAGUUCGACAGAUAGCAUGUGGUGGGGGAAAAAAGUGGGUACACCCAUCUCUUCCAAGGCGUCUGGCCUGGAUUGAAGAGUAGGCCAAAUACCAAAUAGAGAAGCUCUUUCGAGUUCCCUUUAGGUGGAUGACCUUCCGCCAACAGUGACGUUAACAACAAAUUGCUUAUUUCGUAUGGCUGAUGUAGAUGCAGAGCAACAACGCAAAUUUCACUAUUACCCACAAUACAGACGUAUAUACAAAUCCUCUUUGUACUUUUAUUGCAGCCUGGAAUGCUCUUCCUCUAUAUAUUAGGAAGCCGUUGGCGCUAUGCACUAUUAAAUCUAAAUUGAAAACUCAUUUCUUUGCAACUGCUUUUUGUGUUUAGUUUGUGUUCCUUCCCACGCAUUUCUGAUUAGCACGGUUGACUACGUAUGGUCUGAAAGAAGUUUCAACGUGCAUACAUAAAACUAUUAUCAGAGAAGAACAUGGAGCACAUGCAGAACUGAAUUUCAGCCGAGUCCAUUGGAAAACAUUUCUCCACUCGGCACACCACAUCCAGUAUACAUAUUGCUAUGGCUGCUAGU